rnacentral:rRNA from 1 species
UACGUAGGGUGCAAGCGUUGUCCGGAAUCAUUGGGCGUAAAGAGCGUGUAGGCGGUCCGGUAAGUCCGCUGUGAAAGUCGGGGCUCAACCCUCGAAUGCCGGUGGAUACUGUCGGGCUAGAGUGCGGAAGAGGCGAGUGGAAUUCCUGGUGUAGCGGUGAAGUGCGCAGAUAUCGGGAGGAACACCGGUGGCGAAGGCGGUUCUCUGGGCCUUACCUGACGCUGAGGAGCGAAAGCGUGGGGAGCAAACAGG